AACGAACGCUGGCGGCAUGCCUAAUACAUGCAAGUCGAACGAUCACUUCGGUGAUAGUGGCGCACGGGUGCGUAACGCGUGGGAAUCUGCCCUUGGGUUCGGAAUAACAGCUGGAAACGGCUGCUAAUACCGGAUGAUGACGUAAGUCCAAAGAUUUAUCGCCCAGGGAUGAGCCCGCGUAGGAUUAGCUAGUUGGUGGGGUAAAGGCUUACCAAGGCGACGAUCCUUAGCUGGUCUGAGAGGAUGAUCAGCCACACUGGGACUGAGACACGGCCCCGACUCCUACGGGAGGCAGCAGUAGGGAAUAUUGGACAAUGGGGGCAACCCUGAUCCAGCAAUGCCGCGUGAGUGAUGAAGGCCUUAGGGUUGUAAAGCUCUUUUACCCGGGAUGAUAAUGACAGUACCGGGAGAAUAAGCCCCGGCUAACUCCGUGCCAGCAGCCGCGGUAA
rnacentral:rRNA from 1 species